UACGUAGGGUGCUAACGUUGUUCGGAAUCACUGGGCAUAAAGGGCGCGUAGGCGGUUUGAUAAGUCCUGUGUGAAAGCCCCCGGCUUAACCGGGGAAGUGCACUGGAUACUGUCGAGCUAGAGUGUAGAAGGGGAGAGCGGAAUUCCUGGUGGAGCGGUGAAAUGCGUAGAUAUCAGGAGGAACGCCAGUGGCGAAAGCGGCUCUCUGGUCUACUACUGACGCGGAGGAGCGAAAGCUAGGGGAGCAAACGGG
rnacentral:rRNA from 1 species